ensembl:snRNA U6 U6 spliceosomal RNA
GUGCUUGCUUUGGCAGCAUAUUAACUGGAAUUGGAAUGAUACAGAGAAGAUUAGCAUGGCCCCUGUGCAAGGGUGAUGUGCAAUUCGUGAAGCUUUCCAUAUUUUU